rnacentral:rRNA from 1 species
ACGGCUCAGUAACACGUGGAUAACCUGCCCUUGGGUCCGGCAUAACCCCGGGAAACUGGGGAUAAUACCGGAUAACGCAUAUAUGCUGGAAUGCUUUAUGCGUCAAAUGGAUUCGUCUGCCCAAGGAUGGGUCUGCGGCCUAUCAGGUAGUAGUGGGUGUAAUGUACCUACUAGCCGACGACGGGUACGGGUUGUGAGAGCAAGAGCCCGGAGAUGGAUUCUGAGACAUGAAUCCAGGCCCUACGGGGCGCAGCAGGCGCGAAAACUUUACAAUGCGGGAAACCGUGAUAAGGGGACACCGAGUGCCAGCAUCAUAUGCUGGCUGUCCAGGUGUGUAAACUACACCUGUUAGCAAGGGCCGGGCAAGACCGGUGCCAGCCGCCGCGGUAACACCGGCGGCCCGAGUGGUGAUCGUGAUUAUUGGGUCUAAAGGGUCCGUAGCCGGUUUGGUCAGUCCUCCGGGAAAUCUGACGGCUCAACCGUUAGGCUUUCGGGGGAUACUGCCGGGCUUGGAACCGGGAGAGGUAAGAGGUACUACAGGGGUAGGAGUGAAAUCUUGUAAUCCCUGUGGGACCACCUGUGGCGAAGGCGUCUUACCAGAACGGGUUCGACGGUGAGGGACGAAAGCUGGGGGCACGAACCGGAUUAGAUACCCGGGUAGUCCCAGCUGUAAACGAUGCUCGCUAGGUGUCAGGCAUGGCGCGACCGUGUCUGGUGCCGCAGGGAAGCCGUGAAGCGAGCCACCUGGGAAGUACGGCCGCAAGGCUGAAACUUAAAGGAAUUGGCGGGGGAGCAC